rnacentral:rRNA from 1 species
CAAUAGCGUAUAUUAAAGUUGUUGCAGUUAAAAAGCUCGUAGUUGGAUUUCUGGCAGGAGCACGGGUCGGCCCUCACGGGUUGUACUGUUGUUGCGUCCUGCCGUUUCGGAGGGAAUGGUCUCGCUAUUAGGUUAGUGGGGUCGGGAACUCUGUCGUUUACUGUGAAAAAAUUAGAGUGUUCAAAGCAGGCCUUCGCUGUGAAUACAUUAGCAUGGAAUAAUAAGAUAGGACUAUGGUGCUAUUUUGUUGGUUUGCGUACUAUGGUAAUGAUUAAUAGGGAUAGUUGGGGGUAUUCAUAUUCAAUUGUCAGAGGUGAAAUUCUUGGAUUUAUGGAAGAUGAACUACUGCGAAAGCAUUUACCAAGGAUGUUUUCAUUA